rnacentral:lncRNA from 1 species
CAUGAUUUAUUAUUAUUAUUUCUUUUAUUAAUUUUAUGUAAAAGUUGAUCUACACAGAUAGGUUUAACGAAUUUAUUACAUAAAAUUUCACUUGUUCUAUUUUUAUUUUCUUUGCAUAACAAAUCCUAUAAACACAAAAAUAACGUAAAUAGCUCAAAAAUAUAAGGAACUAACUAAGAAAAGAUGAGUGAAUUCGAAGUAAAAAUAUAUAUAAAUAUGAUCCGAUCAACGUGACACAAAUCAAGCAAAGGAAGCUGAAAACUUCCCCAAAAUUCGGCAAAAGGGGGAAGAAAUCCUUUAAAAUCGGCAAAGGGCCCAAAUUGCACCAAAAGCCGGAAAGAAAGCUAAAACAUCUUCACAAAACAAGCAAGAAUUGAAGCUUGCUCACAAAAUAGGCAAAAAAGCCCUAUAAUUUGGCCAAGCAAGGGAAAAUGGCUGAAAUUAAGACACAAAACAUUGCUAAAUUCUCCCAUGGUCAAGACACAAAUCAAAGCCAAAUAUGUGACAACCCGUCCCUAAAAUUUUGUCUUUAUUUAUUUUAAUCGAGGGAAUUGACGAAAAUGCCGUAAAGGCAAGGAUUUUGACUUAUGUUGACCAUCGUCUAGAGGAACGUAUGACCUAUUCUUUUGGCAUAUUUGUGUAAUACUCGUUGGUACGAACACAUAGACGAAAGUCAUUCGUGAGUCCGGAUUAUAACGGUAUAGUUACAAACAUUUGAAGUUGUUUCGCUAAAUUAUAGAUUUAAAGGAAAAUAAAUCCCACCAUGUGGGAAUUGUAACCAAUUAGAAAUUAGGGAGGAAGGAGUGGACCAAUUAGACAAAAGGGCAAGGGACCAAUUCGAUGAAGAGGAGGGCAGCCAAUCAAGAGGGAGAAUCCCCUCUUCCCGUGCACUCUAUGAACCCAGGAACAAGACCCAACCAAUGGUAGAGACGUUGGAACACCGAGGAAGGAGAAUCGAAGUUCACCCAUUUUAGGGUUCCGGCGGGUUUGAGUGAAAUUGGAGCCUUUUUCGGCCAAAUUGGACUUGGUCAGAGGUGAGGAUCGUUUGUGACGUCUCGAUAUUUGUGCUAGAGAGUCGUAGCGCAUACCUCAGGUGAAUGGGCAUUUUCCUUUUAUCGUAUAUAUAUCAUUGGUAGUUCCACAAAACGCUUUUAAAUUGAUUUAUGCGUUUUAUGCCAUGUCAUAUAUAUAUAUAUAUUUGUAUAUUCUAAAAUACUACGAUAUGGUUGAGUUUUAGAUUGCAUUAUGGUAUAACCAUAUGCAUAUUACCUACAUAUAAUUGUUGUGAAUGCCUUGAAGUGCUAAGGUGAACGUAGGACGUACAGGUAAGUUCAGGUUUAUAGUAUUAUUUGAAAUGAUUGAGUUAGGGCAUGACUAUAUUAGUGUUUUGUGCAACUCCGACACUGUCAUACAAGUUGCAAUGAUAGGCAACUCCGACCCUGUCGUACAUGUUGCAAUGAUAGGCAACUCCGACACUGUCGUACUGGUUGCCUAUGAGUCGUACAUGUUGCAUUAGGCAACUCCGACUCAGGUGUUAUCAUGGAUUGGUUUAUGAGUCGUACAGGUAGCAUUAGGCAACUCCGACUCAGGUGUUAUCAUGGAUUGAUUUAUGAGUUGUACAGGUUGUGUUAGGCAACUCCGGCUUGUGGGUUACCAUAAAUUGAUGAGCACUUGAUUUAUAUUGUUGUUGCUGAUAUGUGGUGAUUUAGAAUAUUAUCGGAUUUACUAUUGAUUUACAUUUGAUUUCAUACUUAUAUGUAGUAUGAUUUUCUGGAACCUAUACAGGUAUUAUAGCGAGAGGUUAUAUCGUUCAAAAGGUCUUUAUUAAAGUUUUAUAUUCAGGCCCACUCACUCUUGUUUUUAUCCCUCCAGGUUCUAUUAGCAGAGUUUUCGUAUCGACGAGGAUUCAUGACAAGUCUUGGUAUUGAAGAUUACCUUCGACGGUAUGAUUUUCAAUCCACUCUACUGUACUUUACUUAUGCUCUGACAUCACGUGUGAAAUGGGGUCAUUCCCGCUCAAAGCGCACCCUCGUGUUUCCACAUCACCACACUUUAUGGCAUAGUCACCUUCCAAGUGUCGGCCAUCACAUCUCAAUUCGGAGUCCUAGUGGACAACCCGGGUCGGGAUUUGUCAGUUUGGUAUCAGAGUAUAAGUUGGGUAGUAUUGCGUUCAUCACACACAUGACGUAAGAAUUCUUGAUUCUUGAACUUGAUUUCCGAAUCCUACCACCUCAUCGAAUACGAAAAAUGUGUUAGUUUUCCUAAGUUUGGGCAGUUUGUCGACUUGUUGACGUUUUAGCAGAUCAUUUUGGUGAAUGCCUCUAAAUUAUAUGGGAAAAAUUUCCCUGCCAAGGAAAGAGGUAGAUUUGGGAUGAGUUAAUGGUUCUGAAGCAGGGCUACUAUAUUGAUAGUUAUGUAUCUCGUCGGAGAGGGGGGGAGAAUUGAUAGGAGAAUAUUUAUGCGACUUAGAUAACAUGUUUUCUUGCAUUUACUUAGUUAGUUAUUGCUUAUAAGAGUGUUUUAAGCUAUUUUCGUGUGUUUGUAGGUCCUAAUAACAAAGUUGGAAAGAAAGUGCAUUUUGGUGCAAUUUGGAGUAAUUUUGGGCCAAAAUGGAUUGCAUGCAUAUGGAGCAAGUGGGAUGGACGUUUUUGGUGUUUUAAAAAAGGGUUUCAACACAUGCAAAAAUCUGAAUAAUGAAGUUGAAGUGUAGAAGUGUGCAGAUACAUACACUUAAGGAACAAUUUGAAAGGAAAAGAAGUGAAAGAUGCCAUUUGUUGGAUUGCUUUACAAGAUGUAUUCACAUUUUCAGCAACUACAAACAUAAUUGCAAGCUGAAAUGAUGCAUAGCAUGUGUGUAGAGGUGUAAAGUGGCCGAAAGUUGAUGUUUGCAAGAUGAAAUGAUGCAAAACAUGUGUGUGAAAGUUGUCUAACAGCUAGUACAUGUGGAAAAAGGAUGGAAUACAAGGCAAAUGCAUCAGAAAUUGAAGAAUGAAGGCACAUGGACAGCUACAAAGGAGUUGAAUUAGCAAGAGAGGAAUGAUUGCCUUUUGUUAAAGGCAAGACACAAUGAUAAAAGAGCAUGUAAACUAGUUGUUUUUGCAUCAUUUUGGUCUUUGUUUGUAUUGUUUAUUGAAGCCACUUGAGUGAUUCUUUGCUUUGGAGCUUCUAUAAAUAGGAAGUGAAGGGAAGAACACUACACAUUACACUACAUCAAAAACACAAUCAGCCACACCACCCAUUCUCCAUCCAUUCUUUUAGCCAAACCUAUCUACACAUUCAUACACUACGUCACAAACACAUUUUCAGCCAUCUUUCUCUCUUUUGCCACACCCCCCAUCCAUCCUAAACACCACCAUACCAUCUCCCAUCCAUUCCUCCGUACAAAUACCAUCCAAACCUGUCCCCAAAACCUUGUGCCGCAUCAAAGAGGAAAGAGGAGAAGCCUUGGACGUGCAUGCCAUUCAAGUUAGGAUCGUUGGAGCGUUUAGGUGUUUUCUUUCUUUUGUUUUCAAUGUCUAAAUUUGUUUAUCUUUGCUUUGUAAGUAUGAGAAACUAAACCCCCCUUAGCUAGGGGGGAAUUCGAAACCAUGUUUAUGCUUGCAAUAUGAUUUGAUUACUUCUAAUUGUGUUUCAUAAGUUGUGAAUUCAAUUUACUUAUCUAUAUGAAUUAAAACUGAUUUGUGUGUGUUGGUUGAGAGUGCACGCUUAAUUUUCAUGCAUAAAUCUAAUGCUAGGAUAUAAGGGAGUUUUACCUAAUCGUUAUGAACUUAUAUUCACAAGUAGUAAAGGUUGUUAAUCACAAUCGCGUUAAGUAAAUUCUUGGCAUAAGUUUCAUGCAAUUCAUAGUAACAAGUGCCUCGUCAAUGCUUAUGAUUUUCAUAGAAUUUAAUGAUUCUUGCUUGUAUCUAUAUUAUGCAAUUCAUGUAGGGAACUUGUGGGGAAUACUUUGGGUUGUCGUAUGCAAUCAUCCAAUUCAAUAACUUUAGGAAAAUCUGAGGGUUAAUUAGUGCAAUUCACGGUUAAUCUGGGGGGUUGAGAAUUCAUGGUUUAUUGAAAAGCAAUUGGAAAUCGUUUUGUAUGCAAGUGUGAUAUGUGUGGAGAAGAACCUCCUAGCUAGCCUUCCAUCUAAAGGGAAAUAAUGAGAUUUCAUGUGGGAUUUCUAGUGACUAGCAUGCAUAUACAAUUCAAAAUUUAUAUACGAAAGCAACGGAAGCAUAUCAACAUAUAUUAUCAAAGCUAUAGUCAUGUAA